AAAGUCCUUGCCGAAUAAGGCCUAACCAGCCAUUCGUACCGAGAGUUGCAGUGAUGAAGGAGAACGCUAAAACAGGUUCGAGAUAUACCGUCGUAAGAGAAAAUCUCGGCGUUGAAGAAGGGACGACAGCAACUUCAAUGAGCCUGGAAACAGGAACACAAAACUCUGCCGCCAGCGUCCGAACAACAUCAUUGAAGCGUACACCCUGAAAGAGCAUCAGGACUACGCAGGGAACAACGUAAGCCACAAGGAAGACCGCACUUCCUGAAGUCUUGAAAUAGCCUCGUUAGUCACGUAUGGUGAAAACCGUACAAAAAGCAGAUGGCGACAGUCUCACGAAACUGGAAGCCUACACAAAGAGAACGGUAUGGUGAGUUCUCAGAGGGUCUGCCGGGGUUAGGGUA
rfam:Chloroflexi bacterium RIFOXYD12_FTLL_57_15 rifoxyd3_full_scaffold_2535_curated, whole genome shotgun sequence.